rnacentral:tRNA from 1 species
GGGGCUAUAGCUCAGCUGGGAGAGCGCCUGCCUUGCACGCAGGAGGUCAGAGGUUCGAUCCCGCUUAGCUCCA